UCGCCUGCCCUCAAGGCCGGGCUUGUCCACUCCUGAAGAUACCUUCAUCAAUAGGACUUCUGGUCUAAGGGAUCUAAGGGAAGAUUAUAUUUGAAAACAAUAAAAGACGAAUAUGAGUUAGCCCAAGUUAGAGAUAGAUUUAAAUCAAUGUAAAUAGGUUAACCUUUUUCCUCUUUCUUUAUGAGAAAAGAGUUGUUCAUGAGAUGAAAUGUGGAUGUUAUUUUUUAUUGUGUAAGAAGUAAUAUUGUUAAUGAGAAUUUCGUUUUAAGUAAAAAAUUUAUAAGUGUCUUUCACUUGACUAUUUUAGGAGAAUAUUUCGGUCCUUGAGGUUUGGUAAAUAAAGGAAACAACAGAGUAAGGAAGGUACAUAUCAAACUGAUUAAAAAAAUAAUAAUAAAUGUUUCACUCAUUGUUACGUGAUUUGUAAGAGAGAGAUAUUGUAAACCAUGUUUUAAGGACAAAUUAUUGGAAGUUGAGGAUCUAUCCACUCUCUUACGGAAGAUUGAUUCUAACUUUAGUUUUAGAGUUUAAAUGAAAAACCGACUGGAAAAGCUAUUUGAAGAGAAAUCAUUGUCUAGUGGUUGUUAGGAAUUGUCAUGUGAGUCUAGGCCAUAAUUCAGAUUCUUUCACUAUGAUUUCAAUAAUGGAUAAAAGUUUUAUAUGGAACUUGAAGUUUUACCAAGAAGAAUUGGAAAGUAUACAGAGAUGCCUCCUUUCAGUUACCUUUUUGAUGGGAUUGAGAAUCAGUUUCUGUAGUGUGUGUGGCUCCGCCUUUCUCUGAUCCAACAUUAUGUCUUCUUGAUUCCUGUAUUGUUUGAAUACUUUCACUAAUACUUAUCAAUUCCUGCAUUGCUGUAGUGUGUUUGAAACCUAUAAAAGGAAACGAAGAAGAAGAUAGUCUUGUGGUGCGGUGAUGGUGGUGAUAUGGAAGAGUGAGGGCUUGGUUAAUAGGUAAAGAAGACGAAGAAUAUGAAGGCUAAGCCAAUAAAGCAGAAGUAAAGAAAAGAUGAGGAACAAAAUAAGAAGACGGAUGAGACAAGACGAAUCAUAAAGAAUAAG
rnacentral:lncRNA from 1 species